GGCACAGUGGCUUAGUGUUUAGUACGUUUGGCUUACACCUCCAGGGUUGGGGGGUCAAAUUCCACCUCUGCCC